rnacentral:rRNA from 1 species
GACGAACGCUGGCGGCGUGCUUAACACAUGCAAGUCGAACGGAAAGGCCCUGCUUUUGUGGGGUGCUCGAGUGGCGAACGGAUGAGUAACACGUGAGUAACCUGCCCUUGACUUUGGGAUAACUUCAGGAAACUGGGGCUAAUACCGGAUAGGAGCUCCUGCUGCAUGGUGGGGGUUGGAAAGUUUCGGCGGUUGGGGAUGGACUCGCGGCUUAUCAGCUUGUUGGUGGGGUAGUGGCUUACCAAGGCUUUGACGGGUAGCCGGCCUGAGAGGGUGACCGGCCACAUUGGGACUGAGAUACGGCCCAGACUCCUACGGGAGGCAGCAGUGGGGAAUAUUGCACAAUGGGCGGAAGCCUGAUGCGGCAACGCCGCGUGCGGGAUGACGGCCUUCGGGUUGUAAACCGCUUUCGCCUGUGACGAAGCGUGAGUGACGGUAAUGGGUAAAGAAGCACCGGCUAACUACGUG